rnacentral:rRNA from 1 species
UACGGGGGGGGCAAGCGUUGUUCGGAAUUACUGGGCGGAAAGGGCUCGUAGGCGGCCAACUAAGUCAUACGUGAAAUCCCCCGGCUUAACCGGGGAACUGCGUCUGAUACUGGAUGGCUUGAGUUCGGGAGAGGGAUGCGGAAUUCCAGGUGUAGCGGUGAAAUGCGUAGAUAUCUGGAGGAACACCGGUGGCGAAGGCGGCAUCCUGGACCGAUACUGACGCUGAGACGCGAAAGCGUGGGGAGCGAACAGG